CGUGUGGUCAGUGGUGAACUGACAUCGGAGCCUGGACUAUUUUUAGCUGAGACUCGGAGAUGAUCUCAGGCUGACUCGAGUGAGAGGGGCCAGUCCCAGAGGAGCGCAGAAUCAACCUGAAAAGUCCAGCUUGAGGACCACCCCCGUCUCCUGCUGUAAGCACCUGGAUUCUGCACCCCAGGUGCCCUGAAGGGAUUUCUCCCUGUGUGUCCCUGGGUCCUCUUCUGAUAAGGACACCAGUCAUCGGACUUAGGACCCGUGCUAAUCCAGUCUGGCCUCCUCUCAAAUUGAUGAACAUCUGGAAACACCCUAUUUCCAAGUAAGAUCCUAUUCACAGGUACCAGGGGUGCCUUCAAUGCAUCUUUUGCGGGGGAACAUAAUUCAACCCACAGCAUCUUCUGCGUUGUUCUGCCCGAGGACAGCCACCCCUCCAGCAGCUGCGGUGAGGAGAAGGCCCCCCAGGUUUGGGGUUUCUAAUCUUGGGUGGCAGCAGGCUGGGAACCGGGGACCACUUGAGCCUUACUGUGCUCUCCUGCCAGGAGGGGUGGCAGCUCCUUGCCCUGGAGACAGUGCGGCCCCCGAGAGCAGCUGAGUGCCUUGCAGUCAUCAACAGCCACCUCAUCUCAGAGGCAGCACCUGGAAUCUUACCUGCCUUACCUCCUUUAGUCCUCAAAACACCUGUGUCCCAGGAUGAUGUCCCUUAUUCUACAGAGGAGGAAGCUGAAGUGCAAACUAAGAGGAAGUUCUGCAGCAGCAGGUUGGGUGCCGGGUGCCAGCCCGGCGAGGAGCUCGGUGCUGUUGCGAGGACUGUGACAGGGCUUUCACCCCAUCUUCCCUUCUGAGCCGGGCUUGUCGGGAUGGGGUGGCGGGGUUUGCACCUGCACAGCCAAGAGGGAGCAGGGCAGCCUCUCCCUAGCACAGUCCUGAAAAGAGGACCCCGCCCCCAUUAAGGGAAUGCAUUGAUCCCUUUUAGAGAGUGCUAGGCCAAUACAUGGAGGAGUCAGUGUGGCCAGGCAGAAAGGGGUGGAUAAACCUAAACCCUGCGGACCUCUUUUUUGAGACCCCAACCUGCUCUUGACCCCCAGAGGUCAGAUCUUCCCCAGGGGAGGGCAUGGGAAGGUGGGAUUAGGGAACAUACGGAGUCUUUGGGAGCCUUCUAAGUCAGCCAAGGGAGUUGGGGCAGCCACAGGGCCAGAGCACAGGGAAGGCAGGUCCACCAGGUCUAGCUGCUCGGCCUCCAGCCCCGCCAGGCCCAGUUAAGAGGGUGCCUUGGCUGCCAAGAGAAGAACCCAGGGUAGGGACUGCCUCCUGGACCUCCACAGGCAGCUGGCCUCCUACAGGCCUGCUGGGAGCUGGGACCCUGUCCCCUCUGCUGCCCUCCAGCUUUCCUGGCUCUGGGGGACGGAACUUGUUACCAGCCUCCCACUCAUAUUCUUACUCCUGCCCUUGAACUUCAGGACUGUCUUGGAGCCAGCCGAGGCCUGUCUGCAUCCUUUGCCCCCAGGUCCAGCUGGACCCCCCACCUUUUCCUCUUGACCCUGGGCUGCAAGAGAAGUUGCGUCAGCCCACGUGCUGGGGCUGGAGGCCAAGGCUUCAAAUGAGGCCUCCCCGAGUUGGUACUCAACCUCCUCUCCCUCCUUGGAGGGCAGAGCCACGAGGGCUGCAGAGGAGCUUGCCAGGUAUGAUGGGUGAGUGCAGUGGUUCACAGCGGAACCACAUCAGACACACACAGGAGUGCUUUAUGAAACUCGGAUGCCUAGCUGGGUGCGGCGGCUCAGCCUGUAAUCCCAGCACUUGGGGAGGCUGAGGUGGGAGGAUCGCUUGAGCC